CGCAAGGGGAGUGGCAGACGGGUGAGUAACGCGUGGGAACAUACCCCUCGGUUCGGAAUAGCUCAGGGAAACUUGGAUUAAUACCGAAUACGGUCGAGAGGCGAAAGAUUUAUCGCCGAGGGAUUGGCCCGCGUCCGAUUAGCUAGUUGGUGAGGUAAUGGCUCACAAAGGCGACGAUCGGUAGCUGGUCUGAGAGGAUGAUCAGCCACAUUGGGACUGAGACACGGCCCAAACUCCUACGGGAGGCAGCAGUGGGGAAUAUUGGACAAUGGGCGAAAGCCUGAUCCAGCCAUGCCGCGUGAGUGAUGACGGCCUUAGGG
rnacentral:rRNA from 1 species